UCGUGUAUUUCGCCUAUAAGAUUGUAUUUGACGUAAGAAACGAUUGUGUAGUGGACAGCAUCCGUAGUAAUAAACAAGGUAAGCUCAUCUCCCCCAGCAUUUAUUAUAGCGGUGGGCACCGUGGUUCAUAGUAGAGCGUUAAUCACGAAAGUAAAAGAAGCAAAGGAAACUGGAAACAAUUGAAGAAAGCAAAAGUCGUAAAAGAAAUGUCAAAAUAAGACGCAGUGAAGAAAAGGAAAUGUCAUCAACUCAACUAUUUCGUUAAAAAUUUAAGACAAGUAAUUUUUUUCCGCGAUUGUUAAAAGAACUCUAUUCAUGAUGAAUUUCUUCCAUGUUUUCCUUCAUAAAAUCGUAUUUUUGUAUUAUCUUGUGGGCAUUUUAUCAAGCUUUAAAAAUGUAAAUUUGAAACAUUUCAAAUUUCAAAUUUUAGAUGUUUAUAAGCACAUAGAUGCAAGGUAGUAAAUAAAACAACCAAACAAAAUCAUUGAUGCAGAAUUUUAUCCUAAUGAGCGGGAAAAGACAUUUCUUUAGAGGAAAACUGUACAACAAACAUUCCAAAGACGUAAAGCUUUUAGCAACUUGAGGAAUAUGCAACCCGCUUAACAAACAAUUGAUUGGAAUAAUUCGUCAAUCUUUUAAAGAAAAGAGAAAUUUGAUAAACAACUUUUCUUAAGGAAAACAAAUUAAUCCUCCAAUAACAAAACAAUGAGA